rnacentral:rRNA from 1 species
AGUCGAGCGGACGUAGCAAUACGUCAGCGGCAGACGGCUGAGUAACGCGCCCCCUUGUACCUUUUGGUUCGCAACCACACAGGGAAACUUGUGCUACUACCGGAUAAGCCCUUACGGGGAAAGAUUUAUCGCCGAAAGAUCGGCCCGCGUCUGAUUAGCUAGUUGGUGAGGUAAUGGCUCACCAAGGCGACGAUCAGUAGCUGGUCUGAGAGGAUGAUCAGCCACAUUGGGACUGAAACACGGCCCAAACUCCUACGGGAGGCAGCAGUGGGGAAUAUUGGACAAUGGGGGCAACCCUGAUCCAGCCAUGCCGCGUGACUGAUGAAGGCCCUAGGGUUGUAAAGCUCUUUUGUGCGGGAAGAUAAUGACGGUACCGCCAGAAUAAGCCCCGGCUAACUUCGUGCCCCCAGCCGCGGUAAUACGAAGGGGGCUAGCGUUGCUCGGAAUCACUGGGCGUAAAGGGUGCGGAAGCGGGUCUUUAAGCAAGGGUGAAAUCCUGGAGCUCAACUCCAGAACUGCCUUUGAUACUGAAGAUCCUGAGUCCCGGAGAGGUGAGUGGAACUGCGCCCGGAAAGGUGAAAUUCGUAUAUAUUCGGCAGAACACCACUGGCGAAAGAGGCUCACUGGGCCGGUACUGGCCCUGAGGCACGAAACCGUGGGGAGCAAAGAGGAUUUAAUUCCCGGGUAGUCCCCCCCGUAAACCAUAAAUGGCAGCCGUUAGUGGGUUUACUCCCUAGAGGGGCAGCUAACGCUUUAAGAAUUCCGCCCGGGGAGUACGGUCGCAAAAUUAAAACUCAAAGGAAUUGACGGGGGCCCCCCCAACCGGUGGAUCAUGGGGUUUAAUUCGACCCAACCCCCAGAACCUUACCAGCGCUUGACAUGUGCAAGACCGGUCCCAGA